GUCCCCGCCCGCCGGCUGCGCGCCCCUCCUCCGGUCGCCUCCCGCGGUGCCGGGCUGCAGGGCCCGGGCGUCUCCGGGCGCGCGUGAGUGUGAGUGAGUGUGAGUGAGUGCGCGCGCGUCGUGUGUAAAUAAACUUGUCUGGGAUUGCUGGCUGGGCUGGGAAGAGCCUGCCAGAAGCAGGGAAAAGGUCGCGUUUGUUUGAAGAAGGCGCCCGAUCGCGCCCCACCACAUGCUUUUAGAUAAUGCUUCUGCCUUCCAGGGGAGACGCAAAAAAAAAGAAAAGAAAAGAAAAAUCGUUACCAUUUGGAUUUUAAAGUAAGGGACAAGGAAUCGGAGCUCUGGAUGUUCAGACCCUGGAAAUAGCAGUACUGUGUGCCAGAAGGUGCAGUGUAACUGAGCCCAGCUCCUGACUGCACUUGUCAGCGUGCCACCAAGGCCUCAGGGAAGUGAGGCCUCCCUGGGUCCAGCCUGUCCCAGGGAAUCUACCCUCGCAGAAACGGCAUGGAAUACGAAGGACCAUGUGAAACUCUCCCGCGGACCUGGGCGGGCGUGGGUGUGGGAAAAACGCCAGAACGGGGCGCACAGAACCGGGGCGCGGGGUCCAGAGGGCCAGACCACCACAGUCGGACACGGAUGGACGCUGGAGCUCCUUGGUUCGCAGGCUUAUUUUGUCAUUAAAAAAAAAAGUCAAUUUGGUUUUAAGCAGCUGUCACUUACAGACAAAAUAAUGGAAUAGUUAAUAAUAACUUAAGUUAAUAACACAUUUUUACGUUUGUGUGAAUGCCUCAUAUAAGCAAGGGAGGAAAUUUUCCAUUUGAUUUUUUUUUUUUUUUGAGUUGAGCAUCAUAGGAAGUCUCUCAGCAAACUGCAGCCGCCUCUUAAUGAGUGAAUGUACCCGGAUGAUAGAUACUUAAACAUCUUUUCAAAUAUUUUAAAUGUCAGCUUCAUGUUAGAAGUUUUGAAGUUUGUAAAUAAAGG
ensembl:lncRNA